AACGCUAGCUACAGGCUUAACACAUGCAGUCGAGGGCAGCGGAGUUGAAGCUGCUUCAACUGCCGGCGACCGGCGCACGGGUGAGUAACACGUAUCCAACCUUCCGUUUACUCAGGGAUAGCCUUUCGAAAGAAAGAUUAAUACCUGAUAGUAUCGAGAGAUUGCAUGAUAGCCCGAUUAAAGAUUUAUCGGUAAACGAUGGGGAUGCGUUCCAUUAGCUUGUUGGCGGGGUAACGGCCCACCAAGGCGACGAUGGAUAGGGGUUCUGAGAGGAAGGUCCCCCACAUUGGAACUGAGACACGGUCCAAACUCCUACGGGAGGCAGCAGUGAGGAAUAUUGGUCAAUGGGCGAGAGCCUGAACCAGCCAAGUAGCGUGAAGGAUGAAGGUUCUAUGGAUUGUAAACUUCUUUUAUACGGGAAUAAAACCUCCCACGUGUGGGAGCUUGUAUGUACCGUAUGAAUAAGCAUCGGCUAACUCCGUGCCAGCAGCCGCGGUAAUACGGAGGAUGCGAGCGUUAUCCGGAUUUAUUGGGUUUAAAGGGAGCGCAGACGGGAGAUUAAGUCAGCUGUGAAAGUUUGCGGCUCAACCGUAAAAUUGCAGUUGAUACUGGUUUCCUUGAGUGCGGUUGAGGUGUGCGGAAUUCGUGGUGUAGCGGUGAAAUGCUUAGAUAUCACGAAGAACUCCGAUUG
rnacentral:rRNA from 1 species